AGUGAACGCUGGCGGCAGGCCUAAUACAUGCAAGUCGAACGGCAGCACAGUGGAGCUUGCUCCAUGGGUGGCGAGUGGCGGACGGGUGAGGAAUACAUGGGAAUCUGCCCAGUCGUGGGGGAUAACGUAGGGAAACUUACGCUAAUACCGCAUGCGCCCUUCGGGGAAAGCCGGGGACCGUAAGGCCUGGCGCGAUUGGAUGAGCCCAUGUCGGAUUAGCUAGUUGGCGGGGUAACGGCCCACCAAGGCGACGAUCCGUAGCUGGUCUGAGAGGAUGAUCAGCCACACUGGAACUGAGACACGGUCCAGACUCCUACGGGAGGCAGCAGUAGGGAAUAUUGGACAAUGGGCGCAAGCCUGAUCCAGCCAUGCCGCGUGAGUGAAGAAGGCCCUCGGGUUGUAAAGCUCUUUUGUCCGGAAAGAAAGCACUGGGUUAAUACCCCGGUGUCCUGACGGUACCGGAAGAAUAAGCACCGGCUAACUUCGUGCCAGCAGCCG
rnacentral:rRNA from 1 species